AUUGAACGCUGGCGGCAGGCCUAACACAUGCAAGUCGAGCGGAUGAAAGGAGCUUGCUCCUGGAUUCAGCGGCGGACGGGUGAGUAAUGCCUAGGAAUCUGCCUGGUAGUGGGGGACAACGUUUCGAAAGGAACGCUAAUACCGCAUACGUCCUACGGGAGAAAGCAGGGGACCUUCGGGCCUUGCGCUAACAGAUGAGCCUAGGUCGGAUUAGCUAGUUGGUGAGGUAAUGGCUCACCAAGGCGACGAUCCGUAACUGGUCUGAGAGGAUGAUCAGUCACACUGGAACUGAGACACGGUCCAGACUCCUACGGGAGGCAGCAGUGGGGAAUAUUGGACAAUGGGCGAAAGCCUGAUCCAGCCAUGCCGCGUGUGUGAAGAAGGUCUUCGGAUUGUAAAGCACUUUAAGUUGGGAGGAAGGGUUGUAGAUUAAUACUCUGCAAUUUUGACGUUACCGACAGAAUAAGCACCGGCUAACUCUGUGCCAGCCGCCGCGGUAAAAC
rnacentral:rRNA from 1 species